GGCUGAAAUUCGCCUUCAUGAAGCCGGUAUUGCUAGUAAUGGCAGGUCAGCAUACUGCCGUGAAUACGUUCCCGGGCCUUGUACACACCGCCCGUCACACCAUGAGAGUUGGAAAUACCCGAAGCCUGUGAGCUGACCGUAAGGGGGCAGCAGUCGAAGGUAGAGCCAAUGAUUGGGGUGAAGUCGUAACAAGGUAGC
rnacentral:rRNA from 1 species